rnacentral:lncRNA from 1 species
GGGAAAACUGGAUAGCUUGUGUGACUUUGUUCAGCGCUGCAAUCAGAUGUCAGUAAUGUGGUGUCCAACCAGAGACAUGGGAAAGUGCGUCAACUUUGCCCUAAUGAGGCCCCACUGUGGGCCACUGCACUGCAGCCCCAAGGCCUGUGUUCCCCCCAGCCGGGAGUGCUUCACCAUCAACAACUGCUGCUCACAGUUCCAGCACUCCCCAUCCAUGUGCUCCAGGCCCCCCUCCAGAAUGCAGCCGUUCAUCUCUACCCCUUCCCGGACAGCCAACAGAGCCGCUUUGUCACUCCAGCCCCCAUAGCCCAAGCUCUAAAGCACCAAAACCCCAAGAUUAUUAAGAGCCCUUUGAUUGCUGAAUUAGACACAUAUACUGAGUCUUGGUUUAUGGUCAAAUGCGUUGGAAUCGGUUGCUAACCUGGUGAGCACUGCUCCACUGUAUAAAAAGUAUCUAUACUGGUCCUGAGAGGACAUAGCACCCUGAUGUCCUGUGGAUUAGACAUGAUGAGUCCCAGUCCCCAAAACCUGAUCUUCAUGUGUCACCAAGGUCUGGGAUGGGGUUUUAGUCAAAUUCUGCUCUUUGAACAAAGCCCAAAAGAUCUUUAAAAUAUCAAUACAAUCCUGUGUCUCAUACCCUAAACUGGCACAGAGAGGAGUACUUGAAUUUCUCAUCUUCUUCACUCCUUGCUCCUGGUUUCCAUUUUUUGGUUGCUUAUGUUCCAAUCUUGUCUCAGAAAGAGAUGAGGCCCUCUACAGUUCACCAGCUGGAAGUGCACGUUUUCUUCCCGGUUAAACCAGCAGGUCCCUCAUUUCAGUUCAGUUCAGUUCAGUCACUCGGCUGUGUCCGAGUCUUUGUGACCCCACGGACCACAGCACACCAGGCUUCCUUGUCCAUCACCGAUGAUCCCAGAGCAUUCUCAAACUCGUGUCCAUCGAGUUGAUGAUGCCAUCCAGCCAUCUCAUCCUCUGUCCCUAAGUCAGAGGUCCCUGAAUAAUGAAAGUCGCUCAGUCGUGUCCGACUCUUUGUGACCCCCUGGCCUAUAACUCGCUCAGUCGUUCUCCAGGCCAGAACACUGGAGUGGGUAUCCGUUCCCUUCUCCAGGGGAAUCUUCCCAACCCAGGGAUCAAACCCAGGUCUCCCGCACUGCAGGCAGAUUCUUUAUCAGCUGAGCUACAAGGAAAGCCCUAGGACCAGGGAAAUUUUAGAGGACAUGUGUGUGAGUGUGAAGUCUCUCCAUUUCCCUAGAGAAGUUCAAUUCCGUUAUUCGCCAUCCUCCAAACGUAGAAGUACCUGUGCUCCCGAC